CCUACGGGAGGCAGCAGUGGGGAAUAUUGCGCAAUGGGGGAAACCCUGAUGCAGCGACGCCGCGUGAGUGAAGAAGUCAUUCGUUAUGUAAAGCUCUAUCAGCAGGGAAGAAAAUGACGGUACCUGAGUAGGAAGCCCCGCCUAACUACGUGCCAGCAGCCGCGGGAAUACGUAGGGGUCAAGCGUUAUCCGGAUUUACUGUGUGUAAAGGGAGCGUAGACGGCAGUGCAAGUCUGGAGUGAAAGGCGGGGGCUCAACCCCCGGACUGCUCUGGAAACUGUUCGGCUGGAGUGCAGGAGAGGUAAGCGGAAUUCCUAGUGUAGCGGUGAAAUGCGUAGAUAUUAGGAGGAACACCAGUGGCGAAGGCGGCUUACUGGACUGUAACUGACGGUGAGGCUCGAAAGCGUGGGGAGCAAACAGGAUUAGAUACCCCGGUAGUC
rnacentral:rRNA from 1 species